AUUGAACGCUGGCGGCAGGCCUAACACAUGCAAGUCGGACGGUAGCACAGAGAGCUUGCUCUUGGGUGACGAGUGGCGGACGGGUGAGUAAUGUCUGGGGAUCUGCCCGAUAGAGGGGGAUAACCACUGGAAACGGUGGCUAAUACCGCAUAACGUCGCAAGACCAAAGAGGGGGACCUUCGGGCCUCUCGCUAUCGGAUGAACCCAGAUGGGAUUAGCUAGUAGGCGGGGUAAUGGCCCACCUAGGCGACGAUCCCUAGCUGGUCUGAGAGGAUGACCAGCCACACUGGAACUGAGACACGGUCCAGACUCCUACGGGAGGCAGCAGUGGGGAAUAUUGCACAAUGGGCGCAGGCCUGAUGCAGCCAUGCCGCGUGUAUGAAGAAGGCCUUCGGGUUGUAAAGUACUUUCAGCGGGGAGGAAGGCGACGCGGUUAAUAACCGCGUCGAUUGACGUUACCCGCAGAAGAAGCACCGGCUAACUCCGUGCCAGCCGCCGCGGUAA
rnacentral:rRNA from 1 species